rnacentral:rRNA from 1 species
UACGAAGGGGGCUAGCGUUGCUCGGAAUCACUGGGCGUAAAGCGCACGUAGGCGGAUUGCUAAGUCAGGGGUGAAAUCCUGGAGCUCAACUCCAGAACUGCCUUUGAUACUGGCGAUCUCGAGUCCGGGAGAGGUGAGUGGAACUGCGAGUGUAGAGGUGAAAUUCGUAGAUAUUCGCAAGAACACCAGUGGCGAAGGCGGCUCACUGGCCCCGGUACUGACGCUGAGGAGCGAAAGCGUGGGGAGCAAACAGG